ensembl:snRNA U2 U2 spliceosomal RNA
AUCACUACUCAGCCUUUUGGCUAAGAUAAAGUGUAGUAUCUGUUCUUAUCAGUUUAGUAUCUGAUGUGUCCUUUGUUGGACCAAGUUCAGAGGAGGGCCAUGAGGAUGAUCAGGGGGCUGGAGCAUCU